ACAAAAGGGGCGGGGCCUGACAGCCAAGAUGGCCGGCCGCACAUGCUGAGAGCUCCUGCAGCUACAGACAAAAGAGUAACGAUAACGAGCGUUCUGAAAGCGCUAGCGGCAGACGGUGACCGGCACCAAACACAGGAAGACACGAGCUACAAAAAUAUACCGGCCCAACACCGGAGCGCCGUGGAAAAAACGACAUCGGCCAUGCGGCCUACACCAGAGCGGGAACUGAGGUCUAGGGGAGGCGGACGAUUCCCCGGCCCAGGACGCGCUCACAAGCGAGAGCACACCACAGCCCCGCUGCCCCCCCCUCUGGACCGGUGGGGGACAUCCCGGUCCUCGCUGGGGACGAAUACCCCCAAAUCGCUGACAGCCCAAGCGACAAACCUCUCAUGCAACCAAGACCGCCAGGGCCUAGCCAAGAUGGCGGCACAGAAGCGGACAAAAACAAGGCGUACACUCACUAUACCACCAAAGCACAUUCCGGAAUUUUAUGAACGGCUACGUACUUACCUCUGGAAGAAGCUUCAUGCCCGGGGACAGCUCUUCAGGCGAGCCGUGAGAGAGAUAGAGGCGUGGAUCCGCCCGGCUACCCGGCGCUAUCUGCAGGGGAAUCUCCCUCACGCCUAUGGAGCAGCCUCCCGACGGCAACGGAACCGCAGAACAGCAGGACGGGAAGCGGCGCCAAGCUCCCCAGACAACAUCAAUCAUGCUCCCAGGCUUCAGAGCCGGACCCGCCGGCGCACACGACCUGCCUACCACUCAGCAGUCCCAGUAACAGCUCCACAGCAAAGCGCAAACCCGCGCAGGGGAACACACAAGGCUCAUCGAGUCACCACUCUUGCUACAGCAGGGUUGCCAGCCGGCGGACUAAACCGGCAGACAGCCCAUCUACAGCCUCCCGGGAGGAGAACCUCCGGACCUUGGUUUUGCAGUGGGACUAGUGUGGUGCGAGUGGGAGUAGGGUGAUCCACACAAGCGGGACUCUGUCUAAUGCCACCCUCACCCCUCGCCAUACCUGCCAACAUAGCAUGACAAGAGUCCUGAAUACCUGCCAUUGACAAAGUAUCUGAAUAAUCUAUUACACAUGUAAUUUGACAUGUUUAUUAGGCUGGUUUUACUUUUAAAUUUCUCUCACAUGAAUAGCAUGCCACCUUUAUCGAUAAUGCUGGUGCCAAAGUAUGCUUAGUAACUGAAGCUAGAGAAUGCCAACGCAGCCCACCACAAAAGAUAAGCUGAGGCAGCCUGCAUUAACUAGAGAUUCAUGCUCCCUACUAACUACCUGCUUCACCUUACCCAGUGCUCAGAUAUGCGCAGCGAACAGGUCACAUAGCCAAACGUGAUUACCUAGCAUGUUUCAAUAACUGGCCAAAUGAUGUCACUAGCAUUUUACAACUACAUCACCUGAAUUACAACUGUUGCUACUAGUCCAGUAAAUGCACUGACCGCUCCUGUUUGCAUGAAAUUUGAUGAGGAAUGAUAAAAUCCUAUUAAGCAUGGUUAAAUCUAAUUAAGCAGUUAGAAACCUGUACUAGAUGUUGACAUGCAUAGCCUGUAGUAUGACAACCACAUAACAACCAAAGUGACUUAAUCUUGUUUAUAUAAAAAAUGUGCAAUGUUUCUUAUGUCACAUUACUGUUACCGCAUGUUUCUUUUAUGUUUGCACCAGCUGUCGUGGCAGUGCAAAACUGCUUGUUAUUUCUAUGCACG
rnacentral:lncRNA from 1 species